CUAAGCCAUCUUCUUCUUCUUCACUAAUACCCGACCCCAUCUCUCUCUCCAAAACUCUUCUUCUUCUUCACUGAUACACUACUAAAAACUCUGAUACCCCUAUAUCUUUCUCUCUCUGAUGCCCUGAAAAACCCUUAAUUCUCUCCAUAAUCAUUUACAAACUAAGGAGAAACAAUUCGGAGACCCAAAAAUACGGAGGAGCUCUCUAGUACAAGGACCUUACUUGCAGACGCAUCUGAUGCUACACCAAUUUCUUCCCCAUUGACACUGCUUCUAACAUCAAAUACUGGAAAUAAAGAUGCUGAGAAAGUAACUUCUAAACCAUCAACAGUUCAAGCAAUUUUGAAGGGGAUAAAACAGAACCUUCUUUGGUGGUAUAGAUAUUAUUAGCUGAAAGAAAGUUGAGAUAAAGUUUAUUUCUAGUAGCCGAGGAGAAAUCAUUGCUGGUAACUUAGGGAACACUCGUUGCUGGAUUUUUGGAUUUGGAUCUUAUGAUAUUGUUGCACUUGUUGAUAGCAACUGGUCGAGGCUUGAAUUGAUAGAUAACUGAGAGGAAAAUAGAUCAUGAAUCAGGAAGGGUGCUCAAGUACAAAUAAAAAAUUAACAAAAUGCAUUGCAGCUGGACUCUACACCUUCUGCAUCAUAAGUAGUGCGCGAACAAUUGCAACAUUCUACUUCUACAGGUGGAUCGCUGCCUCUGCAUUAUACUUCUGCACCAGCACAAAUAGUACAUGAGCAAGUGCAAUAAAUUCCACUGAACUCUGCCUCUCUUGCAUCACAAGCAGUACGUAAACAAUUGCAACAACUACCACUGGAUUCCACCACUCGUACUUCACAAACGGUACAAGAACAAGUUGAGGAUUCUUCCAAUCAUGAAACAAACGAGCAAUCCGAGGAACAAAGCAAGAACAUAUAGAUUUUAAUCGUUAAAUUCAAUAAUGUAAUGACUUUUGGUGAUUAUUCUUACUUCAUAUUAAUGUAGGUCCUUCUACUGAAAAACGAAAAAGAGGAAAAACUCGGAUGCAAAGUGUUCAUGGUAGGAAAGAGCGAAAGCAAAUUGUGCUAAAUGAGAACAAUAAACCCAUAGGUCCUAGUGAUGAUGAUGUAAAUAAGUUGGGUAGCUUCCUUGGUACAUUGGCAAGGAAUGCGACCUUUUGUCCUCUUAAUGUGUUUGAUUGGAGGAAACUUGAGACAAAAGAAGAUAUGUUGAAAUAUGUCAAGGGAAAAUAUGACAUUCAUGAAGGUGCAAAAAAGUGGGGUUUUCAAUCAAUUUCAAAUGUUGGAGAAAGUACAAAAACCAGUUAUAUAAAGACUAUUUUGAACCCUAUGAGAAUGACGAGCUUCGAAUGGAGAAUAGACCGGUUGAUGUUCCGGAUUCUCAAUUUAGGAAACUUCUUAGAUAUUGGAACUCUGAUAACUACAAGAAAAUGAAAGAAACCAACACUAAGAAUCGCAAAAAGUUGAGAUAACUACACACUGCUGGCAAAAAACAUUUUGCUAGAAUAUGCGAGGCUGAAAUGGAUAGAAUACAAUCAACACAAGAAACUGAAGAUGGCAGUCAACCAGUUGACAUGUUUGCGUCCGUCAUGGGACCUGAGCAUCUAGGACGCCUAAGAUUGUACGGACGCGAGGUUACCAAGACUUCCUUAAAAAGAAAAGUGGAAGAUAUUAGAACCUCUUUAUGUUCUACCGAUGAGAUGCUACAACAAAAAAUGGUGGAAAUAAAAUAAAGGAUGCAACAAAGAAUGCAGGAAAAGUUCAAUGCAUAAAAAGAUGCCAUGGAACUACAAGUUGCAGUUAACAUCAUUUCACAACUUAAGCAUUUGAAUCCAGAUUUACAGGUUGAUCCCAGCAUGCUAGCUUUCAAUGCUCGUUCACCUGGAGAUGCUUCCUCUGCACAACAAGCUACUGAGCAACUAAUCAUUCGUCUAUCUACUAGGAAUAAUAAUCGAGGUGGAGCAACUGAAGAAAGGGAAAAUGGAGAAGGUGGAGUAACUAAAGAAAGGGAAGAUGGAGAUAGUGAAGAUCUAGACCUUACUUAAGAAGAACUUUGAGUUGUUGUCGAUAUUCUUGGAGUCUUUUGUUAUAACAUUUGAAACUUUAACUUUUGAAGUGUUGAACUAUAAAACUUAUGUAAUUGGGUUAAAACAUUUUUCUAUUAUCGUUA